CCUACGGGAGACAGCAGUGGGGAAUAUUGGGCAAUGGGCGCAAGCCUGACCCAGCAACGCCGCGUGAAGGAAGAAGGCUUUCGGGUUGUAAACUUCUUUUCUCAGGGACGAAGAAAGUGACGGUACCUGAGGAAUAAGCCACGGCUAACUACGUGCCAGCAGCCGCGGUAAUACGUAGGUGGCAAGCGUUAUCCGGAUUUACUGGGUGUAAAGGGCGUGUAGGCGGGAAAGCAAGUCAGAUGUGAAAACCAUGGGCUCAACCUGUGGCCUGCAUUUGAAACUGUUUUUCUUGAGUACUGGAGAGGCAGACGGAAUUCCUCGUGUAGCGGUGAAAUGCGUAGAGAUGAGGAGGAACACCAGUGGCGAAGGCGGUCUGCUGGACAGCAACUGACGCUGAGGCGCGAAAGCGUGGGGAGCAAACAGGAUUAGAUACCCUUGUAGUC
rnacentral:rRNA from 1 species